GUUGAAGAAACACUUGCAAAGAAAUUGAGAAUGCCAAAGCAAGUUAGAUGCAAGUUCAUACAAACAAUUUACGACAAAAUUUGCCUAUUUACUGUGUAAGUUCAUUCCAUCAUUUAUAUUUUCAGCAACUUUCUCUUGAUUUUAUCCUGCUGUGGUGUAUUAUGGCAUAUUUGUGUCAUCGAGAAUGGCUUUUGUUGUAUAGUUCUCCCACUCCAGACCAAAGGCGAGAUGUUUGUCCUGCAAUAAUUGCAAAAUACCCUUUUCUUUCUGAUGCAAGUGGUGGCUAUGUAAGUCUUUUAUUUAUAAUUGUAUAUAGUCUUUUCUUAUUAUUCUUAUUAUGUUUGUAUAGUUAUAAUAAAGAAAAAGACAUAACAAAAAACGCUGAAAUCUGUAUUGUUUGUCCAUAAACUUGCAUACUGAUGGCUUGAAGAAUUGUGUUUGUUGCCUCAUUUACUGGAAAGGAAAACAAAAACUAAUAAAAGUCCUGAGUCUUACUUUUACCAGUUUGGUGAAGCAGAAGAAGUUGCCAUGGCAGCAAGACCUGGAAUGGCCCCAUUUUUGGUUAUCAGUGGCUCAGUGGAUGAUCCCCAUCUGGAUGAUAUAACUGUUGUUGCCGAAAACCACAUUGUAACAAGGUCUGCAGGAAUUCUGGAUCCACUGGAGUCAAUGCUUAUAUUGUAUUACGUAUGUAAUAUUCAAUACCCUAAAGAAUGUGUCAACACAUUUCAUUUCCUGCAGAGAAAUAUCAUGAAAGUGUUUGACACCCAAAAGGUGCCGACAAAGGUGUUGGUGUUAAUGUCAGAGUUAUCGAAACUAUGAACCAGAAUGUGAACAAUAAAAUAUAUGGUUAUAGUACAGGAUUUAAUGAUAUAAUGUAGUUUUAUUUAAAGUUUUGUUAAGGUUUUAAAUAGUUAUGUAAGUGGGGGUUACAUUUAAUAACUUUGUAGUAUUUAUUAUGCUGAAAUUUACUUUCAUGAUACAUUUAUAUGCUA